rnacentral:rRNA from 1 species
AUGAAGGCGGAGCACGGGAGGGAUGCCGGAGAGCGGGUCUCCUGGCGGGCCUCGAGGCUGUUCUGGUUCGACGGCAGGUGGGUCUUGAACGCCUCCACAUCCUCCCGCCGGUCCACGCGCUCUGAAUCGGCGGUGUUGACGACGAGGGAGGAGCUGGGGAUGCGGAGCACGGUGAAGAGGCUGUAGACGGUGAGCACGAGCAGCGGCACGGCGCGGCAGGCGUAGCGGCCCCUGCCGCCGGCGCCCCAGGGCUUCCUGUGCGGCGGCGACGGCGGCGGGGACCUCCGGAUCCACGACAGGCUGCCGGAGAGGGACGGCUUGGGCUUGUGA